rnacentral:tRNA from 1 species
GGCUCUGUAGCUUAGUGGUAAAGCGCCGCUCUCAUGAGGCGGAGAUCGGGUGUUCAAAUCACCCCAGAGCCA